AACGAACGCUGGCGGCAUGCCUAACACAUGCAAGUCGAACGAGACCUUCGGGUCUAGUGGCGCACGGGUGCGUAACGCGUGGGAACCUGCCCUUAGGUUCGGAAUAACUCCCCGAAAGGGGUGCUAAUACCGGAUAAUGUCUUCGGACCAAAGAUUUAUCGCCUUUGGAUGGGCCCGCGUUGGAUUAGCUGGUUGGUAGGGUAAAAGCCUACCAAGGCGACGAUCCAUAGCUGGUCUGAGAGGAUGAUCAGCCACACUGGGACUGAGACACGGCCCAGAAUCCUACGGGAGGGAGCAGUGGGGAAUAUAGGACAAUGGGCGAAAGCAUGAUCCAGCAAGGCCGCGUGAGUGAUGAAGGCCUUAGGGUUGUAAAGCUCUUUUACACGGGAUGAUAAUGACAGUACCGGGAGAAUAAGCUCCGGCUAACUCCGUG
rnacentral:rRNA from 1 species